rnacentral:lncRNA from 1 species
GGUGGUUCAACUAGUUCAACCCUGGUACGGGUUGCCGCUGCCAUCACGGUUAGGUGGAUAGUUGUUUUGGUACUGUGGCUGCUGCUGCUGGUAGUUGUUGUUACCUGACCAUCCUGCAUUUGGUGGACCUCCUCCCAUGUUGUUAUGUGGUGGUGGUGCUCCUCCAUAGUUCGGUGGUGGUGGUGGUCCUCCAUAGUUUGGUGGUGGUGGUGCUCCUCCCAUGUUGCUUUGUGGUGGUGCUCCUCCGUAGUUAGGUGGUGGUGCUCCUCCAUAGUUUGCUGGAGGCCUCUGUCCUCCCAUGUUGUUCUGUGGUGGUGGUGGUCCCCCAUAGUUUGGUGGCGGCCUUUGUCCUCCCAUGUUCGGAGGUGGUGGUGGUGGUCCCCCGUAGUUCUGUCCCAUGUGAGGCGGAGGAGGUGCAGAGCCACCCAUGUGAGGUGGAGGAGGUGCAGAGCCACCCAUAUGAGGCGGAGGAGGACCGCCCAUUGGAGGACGUUGAGGAGGAGGGCCUCCUGCCAUGUUCUCUCUUCUCCUCUCAAAGUUUCUGCUUCUAUCAAAGUUGCGAGGACGGUCAUUACGCCUGUUUCUUUCGUUUGCUCUAGCAUUGUUCCUAAUCCACUCCUCGUGGUACUUGGGAUCA